rnacentral:rRNA from 1 species
CAGUCGCCGCGGGAAUACGAAGGGUGCAAGCGUUAAUCAGAAUUACUGGGCGUAAAGCGUGCGUAGGCGGUUUGUUAAGUCUGCUGUGAAAUCCCCGGGCUCAACCUGGGAAUGGCAGUGGAUACUGGCUCGCUAGAGUGUGUCAGAGGAUGGUGGAAUUCCCGGUGUAGCGGUGAAAUGCGUAGAGAUCGGGAGGAACAUCAGUGGCGAAGGCGGCCAUCUGGGACAACACUGACGCUGAGGCACGAAAGCGUGGGGAGCAAACAGGAUUAGAUACCCCCGUAGUCCCUGUCUCUUAUAC